GUUUAAGUAAUCAAGCGCGCAUGGUGGAUGCCUGGGCGGCAGAAGGCGAUGAAGGACGUUGUAGCAUGCGAUAAGCCUCGGGGAGCCUGCAAACUGGCUUUGAUCCGGGGAUUUCCGAAUGGGGAAACCCGGCCGUUUACGGUCAUUGCGCACUGAAUACAUAGGUGCGUUAAAGCAAACCCGGGGAACUGAAACAUCUAAGUACCCGGAGGAACAGAAAUCAACCGAGAUUCCCCCAGUAGCGGCGAGCGAACGGGGAACAGCCCAGUUCACCGCAAUCACGUCACAACCUAGCAAAACAGACUGGAAAGUCUGGCCAAAGAAGGUGAUAGCCCUGUAUGCGAAAGGAUGCGACGUGUGGGUGACGAAGAGUAGGGCGGGGCACGUGCAACCUUGUCUGAACAUGGGGGGCCCAUCCUCCAAGGCUAAAUACUCUCUGCCGACCGAUAGCGAACUAGUACCGUGAGGGAAAGGUGAAAAGAACCCCGGUGAGGGGAGUGAAAUAGAACCUGAAACCGUGUGCGUACAAGCAGUGGGAGCCUGGUCUUCGGACCGGGUGACCGCGUACCUUUUGUAUAAUGGGUCAGCGAGUUACGUCUCAGUGGCAAGCUUAACCGUGUAGGGUAGGCGUAGGGAAACCGAGUCUUAAAUGGGCGAUCGAGUCGCUGGGAGUAGACCCGAAACCAGGCGAGCUAUCCAUGGCCAGGGUGAAGGCAGGGUAAUACCUGCUGGAGGCCCGAACCGGGUAAUGUUGAAAAAUUAUCGGAUGAGCUGUGGAUAGGAGUGAAAGGCUAAUCAAGCCUGGAGAUAGCUGGUUCUCCCCGAAAGCUAUUUAGGUAGCGCCUCGUGUAUCACUACCGGGGGUAGAGCACUGUUUCGGCUAGGGGGUCAUACCGAUUUACCAAACCGAUGCAAACUCCGAAUACCGGUAAGUGCAGCACGGGAGACACACGGCGGGUGCUAAGGUUCGUCGUGGAAAGGGAAACAGCCCAGACCGCCAGCUAAGGUCCCCAAAUUACGGCUAAGUGGUAAACGAAGUGGGAAGGCCCAGACAGCCAGGAGGUUGGCUUAGAAGCAGCCAUCCUUUAAAGAAAGCGUAACAGCUCACUGGUCUAGUCGGCCUGCGCGGAAGAUUUAACGGGGCUUAAGCCGUAUACCGAAGCUGCGGCUCGGUACUUUCUUCGGAUCGUAUCGGGGGUAGGGGAGCGUUCUGUAAGCCAGUGAAGGUGCGUCGCGAGGCGUGCUGGAGGUAUCAGAAGUGCGAAUGCUGACAUGAGUAACGAUUAUGCGGGUGAAAAACCCGCACGCCAGAAGCCCAAGGUUUCCUGCGCAACGCUAAUCGGCGCAGGGUGAGUCGGCCCCUAAGGCGAGACCGAAAGGUGUAGUCGAUGGGAAACAGGUCAACAUUCCUGUACCGGCCGUAACUGCGAUGGGGUGACGGAGAAGGUUAGGCCUACCGGGCGUUGGUUGUCCCGGGGAAAGUAGGUAGGCGGGCGCUUUUGGAAAAUCCGGAGCGCCGUUAACGCCGAGAUACGAGACCACCGGCAUUGCCGGGAAGUGGCUUACACCAUGCUUCCAGGAAAAACCUCUAAGCAUCAGGUUACGGGCGACCGUACCGUAAACCGACACAGGUGGGCAGGGAGAGAAUCCUAAGGCGUUUGAGAGAACUCGGGUGAAGGAACUAGGCAAAUUGGUACCGUAACUUCGGGAGAAGGUACGCCUUUGACGGUGACGGGACUUGCUCCCUGAGCUGUCGGAGGCCGCAGUGACCAGGUGGCUGCGACUGUUUACUAAAAACAUAGCACUCUGCUAACUCGCAAGAGGAUGUAUAGGGUGUGACGCCUGCCCGGUGCCGGAAGGUUAAGUGAUCCUGUUAGCCCUUUUGGGCAAAGCUCGUGACCGAAGCCCCGGUAAACGGCGGCCGUAACUAUAACGGUCCUAAGGUAGCGAAAUUCCUUGUCGGGUAAGUUCCGACCUGCACGAAUGGCGUAACGAUGGCCACACUGUCUCCACCCGGGACUCAGUGAAAUUGAAAUUGCUGUGAAGAUGCAGUGUACCCGCGGCUAGACGGAAAGACCCCGUGAACCUUUACUACAGCUUUGUACUGGAUCUUGAGCCAGCUUGUGCAGGAUAGGUGGGAGGCUUUGAAACGAGGACGCCAGUUCUCGUGGAGCCAACCUUGAAAUACCACCCUGGCUUGUUUGAGGUUCUAACCCAGGCCCGUUAUCCGGGUCGGGGACAGUGCAUGGUGGGUAGUUUGACUGGGGCGGUCUCCUCCCAAAGAGUAACGGAGGAGCACAAAGGUACCCUCAGCGCGGUCGGACAUCGCGCAUUGCGUGUAAAGGCAUAAGGGUGCUUGACUGCGAGACGUACAAGUCGAGCAGGGACGAAAGUCGGUCUUAGUGAUCCGGUGGUUCUGUAUGGAAUGGCCAUCGCUAAACGGAUAAAAGGUACUCCGGGGAUAACAGGCUGAUUCCUCCCAAGAGUCCACAUCGACGGAGGAGUUUGGCACCUCGAUGUCGGCUCAUCACAUCCUGGGGCUGUAGCAGGUCCCAAGGGUAUGGCUGUUCGCCAUUUAAAGUGGUACGCGAGCUGGGUUUAGAACGUCGUGAGACAGUUCGGUCCCUAUCUGCCGUGGGCGUUGGAAACUUGAGGGGAGCUUCUCCUAGUACGAGAGGACCGGAGUGGACGUACCUCUGGUGUUCCGGUUGUCACGCCAGUGGCAUUGCCGGGUAGCUAUGUACGGAAGGGAUAACCGCUGAAAGCAUCUAAGCGGGAAGCCCACCCCAAGAUUAGGUUUCCCGGAUCUUCGGAUCCCUGAAGGGCCCUUGAAGACUACAAGGUUGAUAGGCUGGGUGUGGAAGCGCGGCAACGCGUGAAGCUAACCAGUACUAAUUGCCCGUGCGGCUUAAACCG
rnacentral:rRNA from 1 species